ACACAUAUAUAUAUAUAUAAAUCGAAGCGCACCAGAAAACAUGGAGGGAAGCGCUCUUGAGUAACGUUACCAACAUUUUUGAGGACAUGUUCACUUGGACACGUUUACUUACUGGAGUAGGAUUUUUCUCCAUCUCUGAGAAAAGAAGAUAGUGAGGAGAGCAGUCAGGAGGAAAGUGAUGAGGACAGCUUUUAGGAUAAGUGUGUCACGUAAAGUGUCACGUAAAGUGUCAGGUCACUGGGUUCUAUCUACUGUCACCUCAUUUAAGUUUCCAGGAGCCACUACUGUCAAGCUGCUUCCAGUCUCACGCUAUAGGUUAUGUUGCAUAUAUCCCAACAAAAGCCUGUUUGUUUAAGUUCUG